rnacentral:SRP_RNA from 1 species
AACGGCUUGACAGCAUCAGGCUCGUCCAUUCCCUU